GAUGAACGCUGGCGGCGUGCCUAAUACAUGCAAGUCGAGCGAACGGACGAGAAGCUUGCUUCUCUGAUGUUAGCGGCGGACGGGUGAGUAACACGUGGAUAACCUACCUAUAAGACUGGGGUAACUACGGGAGACAGGAGCUACUACCGGAUAAUAUUUUGAACCGGAUGGUUCAAAAGUGAAAGACGGUCUUGCUGUCACUUAUAGCUGGAUCCGGGCUGGAUUAGCUAGUUGGUAAGGUAACGGCUUACCAAGGCAACGAUGCAUAGCCGACCUGAGAGGGUGAUCGGCCACACUGGAACUGAGACACGGUCCAGACUCCUACGGGAGGCAGCAGUAGGGAAUCUUCCGCAAUGGGCGAAAGCCUGACGGAGCAACGCCGCGUGAGUGAUGAAGGUCUUCGGAUCGUAAAACUCUGUUAUUAGGGAAGAACAUAUGUGUAAGUAACUGUGCACAUCUUGACGGUACCUAAUCAGAAAGCCACGGCUAACUACGUG
rnacentral:rRNA from 1 species